GAUGAACGCUGGCGGCGUGCCUAAUACAUGCAAGUCGAGCGAAUGGAUUAAGAGCUUGCUCUUAUGAAGUUAGCGGCGGACGGGUGAGUAACACGUGGGUAACCUGCCCAUAAGACUGGGAUAACUCCGGGAAACCGGGGCUAAUACCGGAUAAUAUUUUGAACUGCAUGGUUCAAAAUUGAAAGGCGGCUUCGGCUGUCACUUAUGGAUGGACCCGCGUCGCUAUUAGCUAGUUGGUGAGGUAACGGUUCACCAAGGCAACGAUGCGUAGCCGAGCUUGGAGGGUGAACGGCCACGCUGGGACAGAGACACGGCCCAGAAUCCGACGGGAGGGAGCAGUAGGGAAUCCUCCGCAAUGGCCGAAAGUCUGACGGAGCAACGCCGCGUGAGUGAUGAAGGCUUUCGGGUCGUAAAACUCUGUUGUUAGGGAAGAACAAGUGCUAGUUGAAUAAGCUGGCACCUUGACGGUACCUAACCAGAAAGCCACGGCUAACUACGUGCCAGCCGCCGCGGUAA
rnacentral:rRNA from 1 species